UUUUCACACAAAUUCCAUUAUUAGGUAAAUUUAACGUACUAGUAAUACACAUCAAAGUUCAAGCAUCUUGAUAUUUCUUCGUAGACAAUUGCUUGAUGAAUUGUACGGUGACUUCAACGGAGUUGGUAGCAGCAAGGGUGAUGAAGGUGGAGGCCUCGUUGGACUCGGAAGUGCCACCUCCCGCCAUGUCGGAGAGGGCACGGAUAACGAUGUAAGGUACCUUCUGUUGGUAACAAAUGAGAGCCACAGCAGCACUUUCCAUUUCAACAGGGCUAACAUCAAACUUGUUGUAGAUAAAACUCCUAUAUGCUGCAUUAUCUAAGUAUAUGCUUGCACUUGUUCCUCUAUGUACUCUUGUUACUUUUGGUGGAUGGCUCAAACAUGUUGUUGCGUUUAAACACCCUUCCAGCUUCAAACCCUAGUUACAUAAACACGUCAAAAGAGUUAUUAAGAAGAUACUGCAUAGUAACAACAUGUAAUAUUGUCUUGUAAAUUGACUAAUCCAUGAUAUUGACUGCUCUAAAUAUUAGAGUAAUAAUUUAAAUUACCUCGAGUUUCUUGGCGAUUGCAUAGUAACGAGGGUCAACAGGGACCCAAAAGAUAUGUUGUCUAUCCUCUGGAGUGCCAAAUACAGGGAAUACUUCUUCAGGUUGGUACCAUAUAUUGUUAAGAAGAUUGUUAUGUGAGUUGCAAUUUGUCACAUUCACACUGUAUUCUGAAAUUUUUAAGUAUCCAAUAUCUCUUGUGUAAUCUCCAUUCACUUCAAGCGGUAGUUCAUUUUCAGCGCCAUCUCCAUAUCUCUGCAUCCAGUAUUUUAUUUUUUAUAAUAUAAGUUUGAUGACUUUUCUCAAAUAUAAUAAAAUGGAACAACCAAAGACUUUUAAACCUAAACUAUAUAAAUUUUAAUUUUUCAACACAGUUUUGCUCUUAUAAAAUCGUCAGAGUUCCUCAUUUUUUUUUGUAUAAAGUUAAAAAAAAUAAAAAAAAUCGAGGGACUCCGUCAGUUUUCUUGUAAAAAAAAUAAUUAUAACUUUCGCGUUGAAAAAAUUAAGAUUUUAAAUUUUUUAUUGAAAAAUCUAUGCAGUGCGUCGGUUUUUGACUAGUAUAAAGAAAUGAAUUUGGUUUAGUGCUUGGACACACUAAAACUUGGUUUACGUGAACUUUGCUUCUACGUCUUAACAUAUGUUUUACCUAUCCUAAUAUUGACUUUUACUAGUCUAAAAUUUACUUGUAACGAUAUCGGAUUGCUUUGACUUUUUUAGAUUCCAAUAAUCCAAUUCUCAUUGACCAAUUUUUUUUAAAAAACAUUUUCCUUCGUAUCAAACACCAAAAAUUCUGCACCGCCCCUACGUAAAAUUCCCAAAAAUGAAUUGAAAAAGUAAGUACCUGCCAAUUCCAAAGAGCAGUAUGUGCCCAAUAUUGAGGAAUUGCAACAUCUCCAAUAUUUAGAGAUGGAUUUGCAUUUCCUGCUAUUCCAUAAUGCACCACUCCUUUAACAUCGAACAAUGCUAACAACAAUUGUGUUGUUAUCCCAGCAUUUAGCUGAAACAAUUAAACAAACACAAAAUCGAUCUAUCGAUCAAAACCGUAUAAUUAAUUAAUACAUACGUACAACGUAACAAUUAUAAUUAUAAAUAUUAACACACCAUGGCAAGUCCAGUCAUAACCAAAACGACAGGCUGAUUAUCAAUGUGUCCAAACCGAAAUCUCCUCCCUUAGGAUGAUAAACAAACGUAAAUAUAUAUAAUCGAUAAGCAAGUGAUCGAAAAAACGUAAAAUAAUGUGUAUAUGUUUUAGUUUAAUUACCAGCAUAAUCAAUGGUAAGAUCACUAGGUUUGUAACUAGGAUGUUGAAGAAGAGGAUUCAUCUCAAAUAAAUUUGGAAUGACUAAUCCCAAAUAAGGUCCUUUUUUGUUAGCCAUAUCAAUUAAUUUUCUAGUCUUUCCACUUAUAGUACCAUUUGCUUCUUCUAGAGUAAUAAUUAGAACCAUGAAAGCCAAAACCAAUGACAAAAAAAGCUUGGAAGAAAUUGCCAUGGUAUAUAUAUGUAGAAACUUUUGAGUUUUAGAGAAAAGAGAGCUAAUUAAGAGAAUAGUAUUGACAAGGGAAACUAAUAACAAAGCCCUCAUAUUUAUAGUAAUUAUAAUUAUAUUACGUUGCAUCAUCCAUCAAUUAUUCGACUAUUUUUUAAUAUAUAUAUUUUGUCAUGUAAAAGUUUUGUAUUAGGCCAAACACAUACGCAGCAUCUGAAACUUGUCCUUAUUUUUCAUUUUGACCAUCUAUCAGGUCUUGUUCCAUUUUAAUUAAUCCUUAAACUCUAUUUUUAUGUACUAUUUAAACACAAAAUAUUAUUUUUAUGAUUUCUUUAUUUUUUAUUUAUGUUCUUCAAUUGUUGUGUGUCAAUUAAUUUCAUUUUUAAAAAAUAAAAAUAAAAUAAUGAACAUCGAUUUUUUUUUUGAAAUAAUAAUAUUAUUUUUUGAGAUUUCUCUGUAUUUUUGCAUGAAAAUAAAUCAAUGAAACUAAUUUGAUUUUCUUUCUUAAAGAUUCAACUAAAUUAAAUAAUGUCACAUAUUUUAUUUUUUUCAUAUCAUCUAGUAUAUCUGAAUUUAAUGCAAAUAUUCGUUUUGUAAUUUUUAAUUUAACUCAAUACAAAUAAAAAAACUCAUCUUCAUUACGAGUAAUAAAAAGCUCUUGUUCAUUGCUAAUAACACUACUAAAAAAUGCUAAAACUUGACAGAUUUCUUUGGGAUGUCAAUGAUCUUUUAAGAAAGAAAAUUAAACCAACACAAUUUCGCAUGCUAUUUUUCACGCAAAAUACAGAAAAACUCUCAAGAAGAUUAUUUUUAAUCUUUUUUUAAUGAAAAUUAACAAACACACAUUGAUUUUUAAAAUAAGAAACAACAAUUAAAGAAUAUAAAUAAAAUAAAGAAAUCAUAAAAUUAGUAUUUCAUGUUUAAAUGGUAUAUUAAAAAAAAUAGAGUUUAAGGGUUAAAAUAAAAUAAUGCUAUAAUAUAAUGCCAAAAUGAAAAAAUGAGGAAAAGUGUGAGGAAUUGUGUAUGUGUUUGGCCUUUGUAUAACAACACUAGUUUUGGCAUGAAUCAUGAUACUCGACAAUAUCCUCUUAGACGAUAUUAUUGGUACUAAUCAACUAAUAAUUGUCACCUCAGAUAUCACUAUUUAAUGGUAAUAAUUUUAUUUUAUUUUUAAAUUCAUUUGACGGUAAUAGUUAUUUCUAUAAAAAUAGAGUUAAUUUUAUUGUAUCUAGAGUUACUAAAUUUUUUGAACGAUAUUUUUAUAAACUAAUAUUGAUUCUAGAUGCUCAUAUUAUAUUGGCGAUAAUGAUGUAUAUACAUUACUAUAUAUCGUUUUAAAGAAAGUGAAGAUCUAAUACAAGAAGAAUUUAGUUGUGACGGUUCAAGAUAACGGUUGUUACAAUUUCUUUCAGAGUUAUAUAUACCCUCAAAUUAAAGAUCGUUAUAAGUUUUAACAUUCUUUCGUUAUAACAUAUUUCAUUAUUUUUUCAAAUUUUUUAAUCAAUUAGCUAGGUUAAUAAUAAUUCCAAUACAAUCGUCCACUUUAACUUACAAAGUAGUACUAAUUUUGAAAGGCUUAGUUUACGUGUUUAAGUAUAUGUGAUAUGAAAUUAUGAUUUUAAAUCACUAUUGGACAUAUGACUAGAAUUGUGAUUUCAAAUUUCAACUUUUACAAAAAUAUAUGAUUUGAGAUUCUAAAUCAUGAUUUCAACUUUUUAAAUAUAAAAUUUGUAAAAAAAAAAAAAAAAAAAAAAAAACAGAUCUGUCAUUUUAAAUUUUACAUCAAAAGACUCAUACUUGACAUAAAAAAAUUAUUUAUAUCAUAUGAAAUGAUUAUAUUAAAGAAUGUCUGCACUACUAAAAUAACAUGAAAUUAUUUAGAAAACUUACCAAAAGAGCAUCCUGAUAUUUAUAUAUUUCAAAGAAGGAGAACGGUAAAAAAUAUAACAACAAUGACAAUAAAUAAAUAAAAUUAUUUUUAAAAUAUAGUACUGUUGUAAAAUCUCUAUCAGAUGAAUAAGCUCUUAUAAUAUAUUCCAAUUGUAAUGUAGUUGUUGAUGAAUGAUGAUACUUCUAUAUCACGAUAAUAUUUAAUUUGCAGGCCUCUCUUUCAAGUGUCAACUAUCCUUUUUCUCCUCAAGAUCUACAAUUAUAUUUGAUUUUCUUACUGCUUAAUUCAUCAGCAUACUUCAUUUUCAAUAGCUAUGAGAUGAUCAUCUUAGAGUGAUUCUUUUGUCGAUAAAUACUCUCGACGAAAGAACAAAGAAGGAGGAAAAAGGCAUCUUCGAUGAAAUAUUGAAGACAUCUUAAAAUACAAACUACAUGAAUUUUGGUUGACACUUAUAACUUAUUAGUUACUAUUCGAAUUUCGAGGAGGCCGAUUGGAAUCACCGUGAGGCUCGGGCCCUAGAUAAUUCUAGAACCAAGUUGUUGGAGGAUGAAGAGGAAGAAAGAGAGGCUUGUAGUCGUUUCUAUUACCCAGGCCAAAGCAAAAAUUUAUAUCAUUAUUUGUAAACUCUAUAUUUCAUACAUAAAUUUAUGUGGUACGAUUUAAUAUUUUUUUAAUUUAUUUUUAUAAAGCUAAAAACCUAUCUAAUUAAUUCGAUACAACUAUAUAUAAAUUUAUAUAAAUCAAUAUUUUUAUUUCUUAAAAAUUAGUAAUCUAUUUGAAGAUUAAGUCAACUUUUAAAAAACUAUGACACGCCCGUGACCCUAUCUCAAACAAUUGUUACCGUUCACGGUUUGGAUAAAAAUCGAUCCAAACCAAAAAUUCAAAUCAAAUCGAUAAAAUAAAUUGAUUUUAUUUAGAUUUGGUUUGAUUUUAGAUUUUUGAAAACAGAUAGUAUUUGGUUUGGUUAUGGUUUUAUUUGAAAAAAUUGAAGAAAUAACUAAAUUGAACCGAUAAAUUACAUAUAUUUUAUUAAUAUACAUACUUAAUAUAUAUAUUUUUAUAAAUAAUUUUAAAGAUCUUAUAUACGUUUUCAUCAAAAUUUCUUUAUAAUUUACUUAUUGAAAGCAAAAAUGUCUUAGGUGAAAACAUUUAUCUUAUUGAUUUCAUGUAUAUGAGUGUGUAUGACAAUUCUUUGUGGGACUGAAAAAUGUUACUGUCUCCUUCUAGGCCAAAAUUGUGAAUUUUAAAGCUUUAUUCAUAUUAAUUCAGUGAUCGAAAGUUCAGUAAUUUCAGUCAAUCUAACUAUUUUUCAUUUUGAAUUGAUUGUUUUCACUUUUUGAAUGAAUUGUUUCUUUUAUUUUCUUGUAUGGUUAAUAACUGAAUAACCAAACCAAACCAAAUCGAAACCGAUAAAUGUAUAUUAUAUUUGGUUUGGUUUGAUUUUGAUGGUUUUAAAACCGAUUAAAUUGGUUUGAUUUUAAUUGACCAAUAAUCGAUCCAAGCCUACCUAUGAACACCCCUAGUUACAACUUACAAUCAUUCAAACAUAUCAAUUGAUUAUUACUCUAUAUUACUAUCAUUAUUAAACAUGUCAAAAAUGGAGUAAAAGAAACUAUUGCGUUGAUUAAAAAAACCAAGACGCAAUCAAAUACCGUUGAUCGAUUUUCCACUAUAUAAGCAUGUGAAUAUAAUUAUUUACAUUUAACAAGAAUGAGAAUAGAUGAUAAUAAAUAAUUUACCUUGAUUUUCUUGGCAAUUGCAAAGUAAAUAGGGUCAACAGGGACCAAAAGAUAUGUCGCAAUUAAAAAAUAAAGAGAUAAGUGUCAAAAAUACACUUAAACUAUCCCCAUUUGAGUUUCAUAUCUAAACUAUUGAAAGUGUAAGUUUCAUACCUAAACUAUCAUUUUUUAGUUUGAGAAACACACAUAUGUGGUGUGUGUAAUGCACUCUCUCUUUUAUUUGAAAAAACCUUGACACAUGACAUUCCACAUGGAUAAAAUAUUCCACAUUGAACAAAAAUUAAAUAAUAAACUAUUAAUAUUAAUUAAAAAAAAUAAAUUAAAGUAAUACUAUCCCCCAAAAAAAAAAAAAUUUAAAAUAUUUUAUCCCCCCGUCCUUUUUGCUUGAAUUUUGUAUUAUUGUGUGAAUAUAUGUUAUCAUUUUGCUUAAAUUUUUACAUAUUUAUCUAUUUUAAAUAUAAAUAUUGAGAAAAUGACCCUCCUAAUUAUUCAAUUUACCAGAGAUAAUAUCUUAAGACUCAUGUAUUCAAAGUUUAAUACAUUUUAAUCUUAAAAACAAUGAUAAAAAUGAGGCUGAACUCCUAGAAUCAAAAUCCCUUCUUCAACAUUUCAAAUUUGACAAAUUCAAUGAUGACAUUUGUUGCUUCUUUUUUCUUCUAAGUAAUUUAAAUAUAAUUGAGAACACUAUAAUAUUAAAUCAUGCUCGUUUUUAUUUCUUUCAAAUUGACUGUCAUGGAGUUUUUUCCUUAAUGAUGUCAUUAAUUAUAUCUUUCAUUUAUUUUUUUCAAGAAAAGACUUUUUUUAAAAGAAUUAUAUAUAUAUAUAUAUGUAGCGUACAAUAAUUAUAGGUAUGACUUUCUAAGAGUUUUCUUUGAAUACUUUAUCUAUUGAUGACACUAAUUCUAUGUGGCUUUUACAAGACAACAAAAAAACCGUCAUGCAUUCAAUGUUUAACUCAAAUCCAACAAAUACUUCUUCACAUACACAUUUUUUAAUAAAAAUACAUGGUAUAUACUUUUUCAGAGAUCAAGUAUUUUAUUAACUAAAAGAAAAGAAGGAAAUUAAUUGAAUUUAAUAAUGUUUUGUAGGUAGAAAGUUUCUAAAGGACAAAAGUCACAUGUUUUACGCCGAAAAUUUAUUAUCAUCAAUGAUUGAGUACGAUCUCGAGACACUAGCUAAUUAGGAACAAAAAUUCUCUUCCUAGUUGAAUUAAUUAGCUAUUAAUCUCUAUUAUUGUUAAAUCCAAGUCCAGUAGAUAGGUUAUUGGGUGCACACAUAAUUAUGUCCAAAGUAAAAAUUACAAAUAGUUAAGGUGAAAUGAUACUUUUAAUAAUAUUUUAACGUGAAAAUCACGAAUACAUUUAGAUUAGACUUAAUCCCAAGAAAUUUCCUUCUCAAUUUUUGCUUAUUUUCGCACAAAUUCCAUUAUUAGGCAAAUUCAACGUGCUAGUAAUACACAUCAAAGUUCAUUCGAUGAAGAAAUCUUGAAAUCAAGCAUCUUGAUAUUUCUUCGAAGACAAUUGCUUGAUGAAUUGCACAGUGACUUCAACGGAGUUGGUAGCAGCAAGGGUGAUGAAGGUGGAGGCCUCGUUGGACUCGGAAGUGCCACCUCCGGCCAUGUCAGAGAGGGCACGGAUAACGAUGUAAGGUACAUUCUGUUGGUAACAAAUGAGAGCCACAGCAGCACUUUCCAUUUCAACAGGGCUAACAUCAAACUUGUUGUAGAUAAAACUCCUAUAUGCUGCAUUAUCUAAGUAUAUGCUUGCACUUGUUCCUCUAUG
rnacentral:lncRNA from 1 species